rnacentral:rRNA from 1 species
GACGAACGCUGGCGGCGUGCCUAAUACAUGCAAGUAGAACGCAGUUGCGAACGGGUGAGUAACGCGUAGGUAACUGCCUGGUAGCGGGGGAUAACUAUUGGAAGCGAUAGCUAAUACCGCAUCCUUCCAGAUGGACCUGCGUUGUAAUAGUUAGUUGGUGGGGUAACGGGUCACCAGGGCAACGAUACAUAGCCGACCUGAGGGGGUGAUCGGCAACACUGGGACUGAGGCACGGCCCAAGACCCGACGGGAGGCAGCAGGAGGGAAUCAUCGGCAAUGGACGGAAGUCUGACCGCGCAACGGCGGGGGAGUGGAGAAGGGUUUCGGAACGUAAAGCUCUGUUGUAAGAGAAGCGGUAUCUUACCAGAAAGGGACGGCUAACUACGUGCCAGCAGCCGCGGUAAUUC